GGCUCAAUGGUCUAGUGGUAUGAUUCCUGCUUCGGGCUUUAAAAACCCUUCCAUCACACAUGGGAAUGCAGGAGGCCCCGGGUUCGAAUCCCGGUUGAGCCC
rnacentral:tRNA from 1 species